rnacentral:ncRNA from 1 species
AUGUGCCUGCUCUCAACAGCCUUCCACAAGUUCGGAAGGUGCGACGGCAGGCAUCGGGCUGUGUGAACCAGCCGACCGUGACCCACGACACCGCUACAGGUCAUCAAGCCGAUGGUGUCGUGGGUGUGUCAGACUAAUCCACGGGAAGCCACGGGCCACCGCGCCCGUGGCAGUUCACUUUG